rnacentral:rRNA from 1 species
UCGGCGCUAAUACCUCAUAAUGCAGCGAUCCGCAGUGAUAUGUUGUAAGGUUUACCGCCUUGGGAUAGGCUUGCGUCUGAUUAGCUAGUUGGUGUGGUAACGGCACACCAAGGCUACGAUCAGUAACUGGUCUGAGAGGAUGAUCAGUCACACUGGAACUGAGACACGGUCCAGACUCCUACGGGAGGCAGCAGUGAGGAAUAUUGGGCAAUGCUCGAAAGAGUGACCCAGCAACGCCGCGUGGAGGAUGAAGGUAUUCUAUAUCGUAAACUCCUGUGAGAGCAGACGAAAGACAGAUUAUUAAUCUGGAUGACUGUAUGCUCAGAGGAAGCCCCGGCUAACUACGUG